rnacentral:rRNA from 1 species
GACGAACGCUGGCGGCGUGCUUAACACAUGCAAGUCGAACGGAAAGGCCCUGCAUUUGUGGGGUGCUCGAGUGGCGAACGGGUGAGUAUCACGUGAGUAACCUGUCCUUGACUUUGGGAUAACUUCAGGAAACUGGGGCUCAUACCGGAUAGGAGCUCCUGCUGCAUGGUGGGGGUUGGAAAGUUGCGGCGGUUGGGGAUGGACUCGCGGUUUAUCAGCUUGUUGGUGGGGUAGUGGCUUACCAAGGCUUGGACGGGUAGCCGGCCUGGGAGGGUGACCGGCCACAUUGGGACUGAGGUGCGGCCCAGACUGCUACGGGAGGCAGCAGUGAGGAAUAGUGCACGAUGGGCGGAAGCCUGAUGCAGCAACGCCGCGUGCGGGAUGACGGCCUUCGGGUUGUAAACCGCUUUCGCCUGUGACGAAGCGUGAGUGACGGUAAUGGGUAAAGAAGCACCGGCUAACUACGUG